AGUGAGGAAUAUUGGGCAAUGGACGCAAGUCUGACCCAGCCAUGCCGCGUGCAGGAUGAAGGCCUUAUGGGUUGUAAACUGCUUUUAUACGGGAAUAAACUUAGCUAUGUAUAGCUAACUGCAGGUACCGUACGAAUAAGCACCGGCUAACUCCGUGCCAGCAGCCGCGGUAAUACGGAGGGUGCAAGCGUUAUCCGGAUUUAUUGGGUUUAAAGGGUCCGCAGGCGGACCAAUAAGUCAGUGGUGAAAUCUCUCGGCUCAACCGAGAAACUGCCAUUGAUACUGUUGGUCUAGAGUGUAGUUGGCGUAGGCGGAAUGUAUCAUGUAGCGGUGAAAUGCUUAGAUAUGAUACAGAACACCGAUCGCGAAGGCAGCUUACGAAACUACAACUGACGCUCAGGGACGAAAGCGUGGGGAGCGAACAGGAUUAGAUACCCUGGUAGUCCACGCUGUAAACGAUGAUUACUCGUUGUCGGCGAUACACUGUCGGUGGCUAAGCGAAAGUGAUAAGUAAUCCACCUGGGGAGUACGAUCGCAAGGUUGAAACUCAAAGGAAUUGACGGGGGCCCGCACAAGCGGAGGAGCAUGUGGUUUAAUUCGAUGAUACGCGAGGAACCUUACCUGGGCUUAAAUGCAUAAUGACGUACUGGGAAACCGGUAUUUCUUCGGACAUUUUGCAAGGUGCUGCAUGGUUGUCGUCAGCUCGUGCCGUGAGGUGUCGGGUUAAGUCCCAUAACGAGCGCAACCCCUAUCGUUAGUUGCCAUCAGGUCAAGCUGGGGACUCUAACGAAACUGCCCGCGUAAGCGUGGAGGAAGGUGGGGAUGACGUCAAAUCAGCACGGCCCUUACGUCCAGGGCUACACACGUGCUACAAUGGCCGGUACAGAGGGCAGCCACUUGGUGACAAGGAGCAAAUCUCAAAAGCCGGUCUCAGUUCGGAUCGGAGUCUGCAACUCGACUCCGUGAAGUUGGAUUCGCUAGUAAUCGUAGAUCAGCAAUGCUACGGUGAAUACGUUCCCGGGCCUUGUACACACCGCCCGUCAAACAAUGGAAGCUGGGGGUACCUAAAGUCCGUAACCGUAAGGAGCGGCCUAGGGUAAAACUAGUAACUGGUGUU
rnacentral:rRNA from 1 species